rnacentral:lncRNA from 1 species
UAUAUUUUCCCCACAUCCACUUUUUGGGGAAAAAACCCUGAGGAACAAAUGUUGGGUAUUCAGUUGGUAUUACUCAAGAUAAGAUCUUCUGGUGCCCCCUCCCUUUGCUCUCUCUUCCUUCUGUGAAUAAACCCAUCACCAUUCCUCUGCAUCUGGGUGCUACUCAGUCAAUUGCUCAUGUUAACUUUUAAUAGCAAGGACUAAUUUACUAACUCACAGUCUGACCAGAGGGUGGUUGUGUUGAUGAGGUCUAUAUGGGCCACCCUUUCAUGUAUGACUGCUGUGCUGUGUAGCACUUAAGCUCUGCAAUGUUGAUUCUUCAGGCUUUGUAUUUUCCUUUCAGCUUGUAUUAAGCAUAUGUUGCUUCUCUGUACACAGGCAUCUCAAAGAAUUUCUCAGCUGCCUUUCUGUCAUCCCUGAGUCCAAAUUACAACUGUCAAUUAUACAUGAAAGCUCCAGCUUCAUUGUGAUGAAACAACCAUCUACUUACAAUUAAGGACUCUUUAUAUUGAAGCACUCCAAAUCUUGAAAG